GGAUGAUAUAACUCCAAUCAAGAUCGAAAACUUUGAUUGAUGUGCAGAGGAAACAAUCGUAGCAUCAGCUUACAUUUUCUUUCAGAACUUGGCUUCUUAAUGUAAUGCUGUCUUGUGGCUGUGUAACUGUUUACGUGUGUUUACAGUACUGUUUAUGUGUUUUACGGUAUGUCUCUUCAAACAUUUGUUUUGGAUUAUAUGAAAGAGAACGACAUGCCCCGUCCGUAUUGUGUAUGCCCACCGUGAUGUUUUCUACUUGCACCAACAGGCCUUCGGAGCCGCACCUCAAUCAAUCUCAGCAUGGCUCUGAGAUCGAUAUGGCCAUGGUUGGCGCGGAUGGUCUCUGGCAGACCAUGGGCUGAAUUCAACAUACAAGUAUCAUCGGACUCAAUGGCCAUCUACAAAGUAGCCACCAAGUGCACCAUCGCCGAAGGUUUCACAACUCUAUUCUGGACAGAUCGGUGGCUUUGGGAGGGCCGCAUAUCCAGGAUAUCAUGCCCAGCUUAUCAGGUGUAGUCAAGAAGAACGUGAUUAAGGUCCGGAUGGUGAACCAUGUUAUUUCAGGAGAGUGGUGGCGCGAGGUAUCGCCCAAUAUGACCGCCCAGGAAAUUCAUGAAUUCCUCAAAUUGGUCA
rnacentral:lncRNA from 1 species